GAAAUCAUUACACCAGCUGGCCCGUGUGAACUUGGAAGCCACAGGAUCUGAGUGAGCGAAACAGUCAUGGGGAAUUCCUCAGGAAAAGUUCAGGAUUUGUCGGUGCUAAAGUCAGAAAUAACUCAGCUGACACAGGGAGAAAGCUGUGAGAUGGAAUUUUGUGAGGGCAAAGAUCCUGAGGCAGAACUCCACAAACAUUUUGUCCGCUGUAAGAAAAAUCCCGGCCACAAGAAAUUCAUUCCAGUUUCUC
rnacentral:lncRNA from 1 species